AUUAGUUUUGCAUUUCUAACUAACAAUUCUUAAUUACCUCUUACAAACUUCAACCACAAUGAAAGUAGUAUUGAAGGUGGACAUUUGUAAUGAUAAAAUCAAGCAAAAAGUUAUGAAGACAUCAUCUAGUCUUUCAGGGGUUGAAUCAAUAUCAAUAGACAUGAAAGAGAAGAAAUUGACAUUAUUAGGAAAUGUUGAUCCAGUAAAGGCAGUAUGCAAGCUAAAAAAAUUGUGUCAUACUGAAAUAGUUUCGGUUGGACCUCUGGAGGAGAAGAAGGAGACAAAAAAUGUGUCUAUUCCUAUUAUGACCUAUGAACCCUGUCCAUUCUAUUAUCAAAUAUAUUAGAGAAUGCUACUAUAUUAGAGAUGCAUUUCAUAAAAUACAUCUAGUGUUUUUAUUGGUUUUCAUUUUUUAUUUUCUCUAACUGAUUAGAUUUAAUAUAUGGUCUCUCACCAAAUUUAAUAACCAAAGUAUUAUUGAGAAAAUUAAUACACAAUAGCAUAUCAAUAUGUAACGGAAAUAUUUUUUUUCAAAUUUGUAUGAAUCUAAUAUAGAAAACCUCCUA